rnacentral:rRNA from 1 species
GAUGAACGCUGGCGGCGUGCCUAAUACAUGCAAGUCGAGCGAACAGACGAGGAGCUUGCUCCUCUGACGUUAGCGGCGGACGGGUGAGUAACACGUGGAUAACCUACCUAUAAGACUGGGAUAACUUCGGGAAACCGGAGCUAAUACCGGAUAAUAUAUUGAACCGCAUGGUUCAAUAGUGAAAGACGGUUUUGCUGUCACUUAUAGAUGGAUCCGCGCCGCAUUAGCUAGUUGGUAAGGUAACGGCUUACCAAGGCAACGAUGCGUAGCCGACCUGAGAGGGUGAUCGGCCACACUGGAGCUGAGACACGGUCCAGACUCCUACGGGAGGCAGCAGUAGGGAAUCUUCCGCAAUGGGCGAAAGCCUGACGGAGCAACGCCGCGUGAGUGAUGAAGGUCUUCGGAUCGUAAAACGCUGUUAUUAGGGAAGAACAAAUGUGUAAGUAACUAUGCACGUCUGGACGGUACCUAAUCAGAAAGCCACGGCUAACUACGU